rnacentral:tRNA from 1 species
ACUUAGGUUAAACUACCAAAACCAGUGACCUUCAAAGCCACAAACAAGAGAUAAUACCUCUUAGCCCC